rnacentral:sRNA from 1 species
GUCUUUGGGCUGGGCUGGAGCAGCAGCCUGGCGGGAAACAGUGCAGCCCCAGGUCCAGCGCUGGCAGGCGCCGCGCCCUCCCCACUCGGCUGGUGCCCCCCUUCCCCUUUCCCAGGUGAUUCUGUCCGAGUCGCGCACAGGAGCUGAGGUGCCCUUCUUCGAGACCUGGAUGCAGACCUGCAUGCCUGAGGAGGGCAAGAUCCUGAACCCUGACCACCCCUGCUUCCGCCCCGACUCCACCAAAGUGGAGUCCCUGGUGGCCCUGCUCAACAACUCCUCGGAGAUGAAGCUAGUGUCAGUGGCCCGGGCGCCCACUCCAAGGGUGGCGGUGGGGGCAGGGUCAAGACCCGCUCCCUGAGCCCGUUCCCUGCUCCCCUGUGCUGACUUCUCUGCACACCCGCAGGCAGAUGAAGUGGCAUGAGGCCUGUCUCAGCAUCUCAGCCGCCAUCUUGGAAAUCCUCAAUGCCUGGGAGAAUGGGGUCCUGGCCUUCGAGUCCAUCCAGAAAAUCACUGAUAACAUCAAAGGGAA